CUCAGGAUGAACGCGGGCGGCGUGUCUAUACAUGCAAGUCGAGCGAACAGACGAGGAGCUUGCUCCUCUGACGUAGCGGCGGACGGGUGAGUAACACGUGGAUAACCUACCUAUAAGACUGGGAUAACUUCGGGAAACCGGAGCUAAUACCGGAUAAUAUAUUGAACCGCAUGGUUCAAUAGUGAAAGACGGUUUUGCUGUCACUUAUAGAUGGAUCCGCGCCGCAUUAGCUAGUUGGUAAGGUAACGGCUUACCAAGGCAACGAUGCGUAGCCGACCUGAGAGGGUGAUCGGCCACACUGGAACUGAGACACGGUCCAGACUCCUACGGGAGGCAGCAGUAGGGAAUCUUCCGCAAUGGGCGAAAGCCUGACGGAGCAACGCCGCGUGAGUGAUGAAGGUCUUCGGAUCGUAAAACUCUGUUAUUAGGGAAGAACAAAUGUGUAAGUAACUAUGCACGUCUUGACGGUACCUAAUCAGAAAGCCACGGCUAACUACGUGCCAGCAGCCGCGGUAAUACGUAGGUGGCAAGCGUUAUCCGGAAUUAUUGGGCGUAAAGCGCGCGUAGGCGGUUUUUUAAGUCUGAUGUGAAAGCCCACGGCUCAACCGUGGAGGGUCAUUGGAAACUGGAAAACUUGAGUGCAGAAGAGGAAAGUGGAAUUCCAUGUGUAGCGGUGAAAUGCGCAGAGAUAUGGAGGAACACCAGUGGCGAAGGCGACUUUCUGGUCUGUAACUGACGCUGAUGUGCGAAAGCGUGGGGAUCAAACAGGAUUAGAUACCCUGGUAGUCCACGCCGUAAACGAUGAGUGCUAAGUGUUAGGGGGUUUCCGCCCCUUAGUGCUGCAGCUAACGCAUUAAGCACUCCGCCUGGAGACACGACUGG
rnacentral:rRNA from 2 species